rnacentral:misc_RNA from 1 species
GACAAAAGGAGCUAAACAUUAUUGGUAUGGUAGUAUGUUCAGUGGUGUGCAUUAUUAGCAUUGCUCAAGCUGCAGGUAGCUUCAGGGAAGUGAAGGGGAGGAAAAAGAGUAGCUGCUCCAGCACAAAACUACUAGCAUUACAUAAGCACAGAAAAAGGUAUGAUCCUCUUCAGACAUCUUCCCACGCCGAAGGUGAAUGGGGUGAAGAUCUUAGGCGGACUUCACGGUGGCGGAGUUGAUGAUGUCGAUGAAUUCAGGCUUCAAUGAAGCACCACCGACGAGAAAACCAUCAACAUCAGGCUUUGCUGCCAGCUCCUUGCAGUUCGCACCAGUUACGGAACCUCCAUAGAUGAUCCUUGUUGAUUCAGCAACCUCUGCACUGACAUUAGCAGCGAGCCACUUCCUCAGGCCAUCAUGCACUUCUUGUGCUUGAUCUGGUGUAGCAACUUUACCAGUUCCAAUGGCCCACACAGGUUCAUAGGCAACAACCACAUUAGUCCAAUCCUUGAUCCUUUCAGAAAU